GUGUCAGCAGCCGCGGUAAUACGUAGGUGGCAAGCGUUGUCCGGAUUUAUUGGGUUUAAAGGGUGCGUAGGCGGCCUAUUAAGUCAGUGGUGAAAUAUUUCAGCUCAACUGGAAUUGUGCCAUUGAUACUGAUGGGCUUGAGUACAGAUGAGGUAGGCGGAAUUGACGGUGUAGCGGUGAAAUGCUUAGAUAUCGUCAAGAACACCUAUAGCGAAGGCAGCUUACUAGGCUGUAACUGACGCUGAGGCACGAAAGUGUGGGGAUCAAACAGGAUUAGAUACCCCGGUAGUCC
rnacentral:rRNA from 1 species